rnacentral:rRNA from 1 species
UGAUCCAGCAUGCCGCGUGAGUGAAGAAGGCCUUCGGGUUGUAAAGCUCUUUUGUCAGGGAAGAAACGGUUGAGGCUAAUAUCCUCGGCUAAUGACGGUACCUGAAGAAUAAGCACCGGCUAACUACGUGCCAGCAGCCGCGGUAAUACGUAGGGUGCAAGCGUUAAUCGGAAUUACUGGGCGUAAAGCGUGCGCAGGCGGUUUUGUAAGUCUGUCGUGAAAGCCCCGGGCUCAACCUGGGAAUUGCGAUGGAGACUGCAAGGCUUGAAUCUGGCAGAGGGGGGUAGAAUUCCACGUGUAGCAGUGAAAUGCGUAGAGAUGUGGAGGAACACCGAUGGCGAAGGCAGCCCCCUGGGUCAAGAUUGACGCUCAUGCACGAAAGCGUGGGGAGCAAACAGGAUUAGAUACCCUGGUAGUCCACGCCCUAAACGAUGUCUACUAGUUGUCGGGUUUUAAUUAACUUGGUAACGCAGCUAACGCGUGAAGUAGACCGCCUGGGGAGUACGGUCGCAAGAUUAAAACUCAAA